rnacentral:rRNA from 1 species
UACGAGGGGGGCAAGCGUUGUCCGGAAUUAUUGGGCGUAAAGGGCGCGUAGGCGGUUUGACAAGUCUGAUGUGAAAUCUCUGGGCUCAACCCAGAGUCUGCAUUAGAAACUGUCGGGCUUGAGUAUGGGAGAGGUGAGUGGAAUUUCCGGUGUAGCGGUGAAAUGCGUAGAUAUCGGAAGGAACACCUGUGGCGAAAGCGGCUCACUGGACCAUAACUGACGCUGAGGCGCGAAAGCUAGGGGAGCAAACAGG